rnacentral:rRNA from 1 species
ACUCCUACGGGAGGCAGCAGUGGGGAAUAUUGCACAAUGGGCGCAAGCCUGAUGCAGCCAUGCCGCGUGUAUGAAGAAGGCCUUCGGGUUGUAAAGUACUUUCAGCAGUGAGGAAGGUGGGUAUGUUAAUAGCAUACUCAUUUGACGUUAGCUGCAGAAGAAGCACCGGCUAACUCCGUGCCAGCAGCCGCGGUAAUACGGAGGGUGCGAGCGUUAAUCGGAAUUACUGGGCGUAAAGCGCAUGCAGGUGGUUUGUUAAGUCAGAUGUGAAAGCCCGGGGCUCAACCUCGGAAUUGCAUUUGAAACUGGCAAACUAGAGUACUGUAGAGGGGGUAGAAUUUCAGGUGUAGCGGUGAAAUGCGUAGAGAUCUGAAGGAUACCGGUGGCGAAGGCGGCCCCUGGACAGAUACUGACACUCAGAUGCGAAAGCGUGGGAGCAAACAGGAUUAGAUA